UAGUUUGAUGAGAAGAGGGAGGAUGACUGUACCUAACACAUAUUGAGCUCUUACUCUACACUAAGCAGUAUUCCAUUUGCUCUCCAUAAUACCUCUGCAAGGUAAGUUGUUUGUUUGUUUGUUUUUGCAAAGUAAGUUGUAUGCAUUCCAUUCUACAGAGAAAGAACUAUGGCUUAAACUUUCAAAGAGACUUGGCCAAGUUUACAGUGCUGAGUCAUGGAACCAGGACCCUGAGACAAUGUGACUCCAAAGUCUAGGCUGUCUUAUUGAUUCUACCUAUUUAUUUUUCAAAUCACCAUCAAAGGAGUAUGAUUUCCAUAAUUAAAUGUCCCUUGGUCUCUUCCCUCCUUAUGUUGGCUCCACUCCCCCCUGCAAUGCCUCUGCUGUUCCUAAGCCCGAAGUCCUCUGGAAACACUAGGCUACCCCCUUGCCGCCCCCCGCCGCCCCUUGCUUAUAGGCAGGCCAUGCAAACAGACUAUAUUCAUUGGUGCUGCAGAAAACUCUUCCAGAUCAGGGCAAUAGUGAUAGCCACAGGGGGAACAGAGACUAAACUUCCCAUAUCCUCCAGAUAGAAUUAUUCUGUUUCCAGCAAUGUCCCUCAUAACCCAGGGCCAUUGUUUUCAGAGUGCUCUCUGGACAUAGCACCACAAGGUGCUAUGGAAGUAAAAAUUCUCAGGUCCCAGAACUGCCCAGUCAGAAACUCCGGGGUUGGGGCUGAGCAGUCCGUUUUCACAAGCCUUCCAGGUGAUUCUGAUGUUGCUAACCAUUGACCUAUAAUAUCUUCACAAGUGAGGGAUUAAAAUAACAGCCUACCUGAAAGCAUGCUAUGGGUUGCUCCUUCACAAAAGCAUCUGUAAGCAAGGUCAAAGAUGGCAGCCUUGGGGAAUCAUACUCUGAUGACGUCAGAUGCACUAUCACCUCAGGCUUCUGUAUGAGCAAGCCUCUAAAGUGGAGGGGCUUCGGUGCUGGGUUGGCAGUGAUCAUCUAAUGUUGCUUGCUGCUCUCAGGGAGCAUGUCCAGGGAGAUGGGCAGUGGCUGAGGCCAAGGGCCUCUCUGACACAUCCCUCUGAGUGCAUCAGUUCCUGCCUGGUGGUACGUGAUUGUACCCUAACUCACAGAGCAGCAUCCCUUUGCUUCUGCACCAGGAUGCUGUUCUACAGCUGGUCCAUAUCACAGAUCACCAGAAUGAGGAGGGGCACUCCUGGAGCCCCCUACACAACUCAGCAUCCUGGUGGCGAGGAAGAGCAUGGGAUCUGGGUGGACCACAUGGACUCCCCUCAGGCUUCAUCUUCACAAACCGAAUGACCUCUGGCAAGGGACUUACCCUCAGUUCUGCUUCUGUAAACUGCAGAUUUACCCCCAUAGGUCUAAUGUGAAAUUAGACGAAAAAAGCCUUUAAUUGUAAAGUGUUUGCACUAGUCCCUGGCAUGAAGUGCUCAAAAGUUGGUGAAGCUAAAGGAGAGUGGAGGGGUGGUGACCCAGGGAAAGAAGGAUGGAACGGAGUGCAUUCAAACCCCUCCACCAAUAUUCUGCAUCCGGGCAUUCCCAUGGCACCUACUACACACUGCUCUUAGCACUUCUAUGGUUAGACACCGCCCUCUCAAUGACCCCAUGAAAUGGGUGCUCUCUCUAUCUCCACAUCAAAGAUGAGAAGUCAGGCUCAGAGAGGUUGAGUGGGCAGUCCAAGGUCACACUGGCCAACAGGCGGUCAAGGGGAAGUAUGCCUUGGCUGGCUGGCUCCAGAGUCCCCAUUCUCAACCACUCCCCGCUCCCUAGGCCAUGUGAACUAAACACUUAAUCCUCCCAGCAACCCCAUGAGCUGGGCACCAGUAUGGUCUCCAGUGUGUGCGUGAAGAAAUUGAAGCAGGAAGAGGUUAACUGGUUUCAAGGUAGAGAAAACUUCACCUGAACUUAAUAUUACGGAUGCUUAGCAGCACCAGCAAUAAGAAGGAUCAGCACAUGCUGUGAUGCCUUAUGUACCAGGCACUGUCCUAACCACCGUGUCUAUCGUAGAUACAUUAACUUGCUGCAUCUUUUCAAUUACUCCAUGGCACGGAUUCUAUUAUGACUUUACCUGUUGCCUGAGGCCAAGCAUAAACAUCAGAAAUGGCUGCUGUAGGUGAGACAGGUGGUGAGGGGCAGAACAGAGACUCCACCCCAGGACAGGUUGGCUUCAGACCCUCCCUCGAAACCCCUGUGCUGUGCACAAACACACACACACACACACACGCACACACACACACACAUACACACACAUAAUCACACAAGAUACAAUAUUGAGCUAUGUUGUUAACUGCUAUUCUAUAUGUUAAAAGUCAAAUCAUUGGGCACCUGGGUGGCUCAGUCAGUGAAGCGUCUGCCUUCGGCUCAGGUCAUGAUCUCAGGGUCCCGGGAUCAAGCCCCAUGUUGGGCUCCCUGCUCAACGGAGAGUCUGCCUCUCCCUCUCCCUCUGCCCCUCCCCUUGCUCGUGUUCUCUCUCUCUCUCAAAUAAAUAAAUAAAAUCUUUUUUAAGAAAGGUAAAU
ensembl:lncRNA